rnacentral:lncRNA from 1 species
UGACAAAUCAGUCACAUUACUUGCUAGUCACAUCUCACGAUUGUACGUCUUAAAUGUACUUUUUUUUAUUGUAGGAUACCAGGACACUGAUUUGCCUUGAUAAAGUGAAAUUUUCAAAGUUUACCAAGCUUCAAAAGCAAGAACCAUUCCAGAAUGCACAGUGCCUUUCGACAGCAUUGAUUUUGGUAGAGACAAUUAAUUGCAGUUUUUGAAAACAUAUGAAGAAAUUUUUUAUUAGACAAAUAAGCCAAUAGAGGAGGACAGUAGUCUGCAAAAUUUGGAAGGGAGCACUUUGGGGUGUCUGAGAGGUCUGCUCUUGUGUGGGACCCCGGGUGAGAUGGGUUCUCAAGGGGACAGAUAGAACUUCCUGGCUGACUCAUCUACCUUGGAAGCUGAGGGGCAUGUCUGUGUGUUUGUCAGCCUCCCUGGAAGCGUCAGCUGUGGCCCCUGCAAGGGGCAGGAUAUUGGAUUAACUGUUCCACUUCUCAUUUCCUGGGAACAUAUUGUGUAGUUCCAAGGACAUGAUAAGAAAAAUCCUGCAUUGAAGUCUUUUUGAAAAAUGAGGCAUUACAGAAGAUUUACCUACUAUAAACUGCAUGGGUAGGGGAGGAGUUUGUGGGUGUAGGUUUGUGUUCUGGUUGUUCUAGUCUGUGGAGUUAGAUUUUCCAUUUUAAGAUAGUAUAAUGUGCUAUUGAAAAUGAAGGGUUUGUUCAAGUACUGAAAAUGAAAAACAUUCAAAGAGCACAUUAUUCUCAGAUCAGAGUUCUAAAC